rnacentral:rRNA from 1 species
AGCGAACGCUGGCGGCAGGCCUAACACAUGCAAGUCGAACGAACUCUUCGGAGUUAGUGGCGGUCGGGUGAGGAACACGUGGGAACGUGCCUUUUGGUUCGGAAUAACUCAGUGUAACUUGUGCUAAUACCGAAUGUGCCCUUCGGGGGAAAGAUUUAUCGCCAUUAGAGCGGCCCGCGUCUGAUUAGCUAGUUGGUGAGGUAACGGCUCACCAAGGCGACGAUCAGUAGCUGGUCUGAGAGGAUGACCAGCCACACUGGGACUGAGACACGGCCGAGAAUCCUACGGGAGGGAGCAGUGGGGAAUCUUGCGCAAUGGGGGAAAGCAUGACGCAGCCAUGCCGGGUGAAUGAUGAAGGUCUUAGGAUUGUAAAAUUCUUUAACCGGGGACGAUAAUGACGGUACCCGGAGAAGAAGCCCCGGCUAACUUCGUG